rnacentral:rRNA from 1 species
GCUUAGAUGUAAACCCAGGCAGUCCCACACCACAACUGCCCGCCAGAGUACUACAAGUAAAAACUUAAAACUCAAAGGACUUGACGGCAUUCCAUAUCGCCCUAGAGGAGCCUGUCCUAUAAUCGAUGACCCACGUUAAACCUCACCUGCCCUUGCACCCAACAGCCUAUAUACCGCCGUCCCCAGCACGCCUUUCAAGAGACUAACAGCGGGCCAACCAGUCUAACACUGAUACGUCAGGUCAAGGUGUAGCUAACGCGCAGGAAGCGAUGGGCUACAUUUUCUACGCCAGAAAAUAACCCAAAGUGCCAUGAAACAUGCACCUAAAGGAGGAUUUAGUAGUAAAACGAACAAGAGGUGUUCUUUUGAACAACGCCCUGGAAUGAGU